UACGUAGGGUCCGAGCGUUGUCCGGAAUUACUGGGCGUAAAGAGCUCGUAGGUGGUUUGUCGCGUUGUCCGUGAAAACUCACAGCUUAACUGUGGGCGUGCGGGCGAUACGGGCAGACUGGAGUACUGCAGGGGAGACUGGAAUUCCAGGUGUAGCGGUGAAAUGCGUAGAUAUCUGGAGGAACACCGGUGGCGAAGGCGGCAUCCUGGACCGACACUGACACUGAGGAGCGAAAGCCAGGGGAGCAAACGGG
rnacentral:rRNA from 1 species